UCUUGUUUUUUGCCGUGCUAGCUUUCGCGCGGCCAGAACAAAACAAGAUGGCGGCCACGACUCGGCGCAUAGCGAAAACACCGUGUAAACAUAGCGAAAAGAAACACCGGGUAAACGCCUGCAAGCAGGCUACGCAACAACGAAUUUGGCUGGCAUUUGCGUUUCAAGAGCAAACUACUAGAUGUUUCUGUGAGCCGAUCGGCGAUCAUAUGUGAUGCCAUUACAUACACAAUUUCACACAACCUCAGGAUGUGGCUAAAUGAGGGGGGGGUGUCUACAAAACGAAGACCUAAAACCUAAUACCUAAAACCUGUGACCCCAAAAGCUACGAUCCCAAAAAUUUCAGUUAUUAUCUAGUCUACCUUGUUUCCCAAAUGGCUACACAGCGCGAAAGUUACGAAAGGUAAUUCAGCGAAUUUUGUUGUGCUUUUCAUGGAGUAAAUAUUCUCCAUGUGCGCGCCCAUGAACUAUUUUGAAUGAGACUUUAUUUACUUGUUCUUUGUCUUUCUUUCGAAAAAUGUCGAUGCCCCAGCAAUGGUGGGGUGCAAGUUGUCUACAGAGAUCGACAAAACUAGGAUUUCAAUAACUAUUUAGCCAAUCUAUUUAUAAACUUUGGAAAUUAUAAUUCACUUGUCGGGAACCCGUAUCGGCACGCUACGCAAAAGCUUUGUUUUGAUAAACACUCUUCCUCGCCAGGGUGUUCGAAAACUUUUCUGGGGGCAUUUUUCUAAAAAUUACCGGUAAUUGCCGGGUUUGUUAGGUUACCGGGAGAGUUUUUGGGAUAGAGUGCAACUACAAUUUUUAAUGGAACAAAUAAACGACGAUUAGGAAAACUUCUAAUAAUUUCGUAAAAGCUGUUUAUAUUUUUAGGCGCACUGACAGCUAAAUGUCAAAUCAUUUGACAGAGAUGAAACCUGAUUGGUUGGAAGGAAAUCCGAUAAAAUGAUGUAUGCCUUGAUUGGCCCACUUUUUCCGGGCAGUGGAAUGGUUUUCUCUGUGAUGAAAACUUUCUACAACUCGACACAACUAGAACAUGAAGCGAUUUCCCGUAUAAAGUUAGCGGACAAUUAAGAUUUUGGAAGAAACACUCGAAAAAGUUUACCGGGUGACAUUCAGGGUUUCUGAGUUUAUUGGCGUUUCAAGAAACGACCACAUGGAAACACAAGUAGUUCACUAUUUUCCAAAAAAAAAAAAUUGAAUAAGCUUAUUAUCUCAUAAGGAUCACUGAUUCCACAUGAAACUUCCACGCUGUGUAGCCAUUUUGGGAAACAAGGUAGGCUAAUAACGGCAAAAUUUUGGGGGUCGUAGCAUUUGGGGUCGUUGCUUUUGGAGUCGUAGCUUUUGGGGUCACAGGUUUUAGGUCUUCGUUUUGUAGACACCCAAAUGAGGGGUAGCCGCUCAAGGUCUUGCGUGAGCUAAGCGAGCGGUAGCUUUUAAUUUUUUUGAGCAAAUGACCUUCUAUCUUUAUUGAGAUAGAGGAAACAAUUAUCGAUGAAAAGAACAAAAAGGUUUUUUUUUAUGUGUUUGCAGUAUCUCCACUGGACGUUUAUUGUCGGAUUUUUGGCUACAUACCAGAGUGAUCUAGCUUAUGCUUUGUAGUUUUGUCUACAAAUAGCAUGUCUAUUGAGAACCAAAAGUGGACCUUUGGCUGUUGUGUGGAGGGGUGCGUUCGCACCCCCUGCACCCCCCCUGGGUACUGGCCUGCUACUUUCUGUGGCACUUAAGAAAAUUUGUUAUGCACUCCGAGUAAGCUGGUGACACAAAUUUUAAUAUUAUAGUCCCAAAGUUGUUAAUCUUCGUAUGAAAACAAAAUGGCAAAUUACAAA